UACGUAGGGUGCGAGCGUUGUCCGGAAUUAUUGGGCGUAAAGAGCUUGUAGGCGGUUUGUCGCGUCUGCUGUGAAAAUCCGGGGCUCAACUCCGGACUUGCAGUGGGUACGGGCAGGCUAGAGUGUGGUAGGGGAGACUGGAAUUCCUGGUGUAGCGGUGGAAUGCGCAGAUAUCAGGAGGAACACCGAUGGCGAAGGCAGGUCUCUGGGCCACUACUGACGCUGAGGCGCGAAGGCGUGGGGAGCGAACGGG
rnacentral:rRNA from 1 species